GUCGUGAUGGCCGAGUGGUUAAGGCGUCUGACUCGAAAUCAGAUGGGAUCUUCCCGCACAGGUUCGAAUCCUGUUUACGACG
rnacentral:tRNA from 1 species